CCCUUAGACGUUCUGGGCCGCACGCGCGCUACACUGACCAGUGCAACAAGCAUCCGUCCUUGGCCGACAGGCUCGGGCAAUCUUUGAACGCUGGUCGUGAUGGGGAUAGACUUUUGCAAUUUUUGGUCUUCAACGAGGAAUUCCUAGUAAACGCAAGUCAUCAGCUUGCAUUGAUUACGUCCCUGCCCUUUGUACACACCGCCCGUCGCACCUACCGAUUGAAUGGUCCGGUGAAGCCUCCGGAUUGGCGCGCACCUCGGUGCCGCCGAGAAGUUGGCUAAACCUUACCAUUUAGAGGAAGGUGAAGUCGUAACA
rnacentral:rRNA from 1 species